ensembl:ncRNA T03F7.11 ncRNA
AGAAAAGAGCACAGGGUAUCUAUGAGCAUCAGACGGGACAUGACACGGGAAGGGCAGCAUUUCCCGAGUGACAAAUUGCGUGGCGGAAAGCCCAUCCAAUGACUGACAAUUUGUCCGAUUGCUUCCCAUCCGAUCGUUUCUCU